rnacentral:tRNA from 1 species
GUCCCCAUCGUCUAGUGGCCCAGGACGCCGGCCCUUCAAGCCGGCAACAGGGGUUCGAAUCCCCUUGGGGACGCCA